rnacentral:rRNA from 1 species
GUCUACGGCCAUACCACCCUGAACAUGCCCAAUAUCAUCUGAUCUCAGAAGCUACUCUGGGUCAGGUCUGGUUAGUACUUGGAUGGGAGUUAUGUGACUCUUCUUCCCUCUUCUCAGGAGGAACCAGUAUGAAAGUG